UGGGGAAUAUUGGACAAUGGGCGGAAGCCUGAUCCAGCCAUGCCGCGUGUGUGAAGAAGGCCUUUUGGUUGUAAAGCACUUUAAGCGAGGAGGAGGCUCUUCUAGUUAAUACCUAGGAUGAGUGGACGUUACUCGCAGAAUAAGCACCGGCUAACUCUGUGCCAGCAGCCGCGGUAAUACAGAGGGUGCGAGCGUUAAUCGGAUUUACUGGGCGUAAAGCGUGCGUAGGCGGCUGAUUAAGUCGGAUGUGAAAUCCCCGAGCUUAACUUGGGAAUUGCAUUCGAUACUGGUUAGCUAGAGUGUGGGAGAGGAUGGUAGAAUUCCAGGUGUAGCGGUGAAAUGCGUAGGAAUCUGGAGGAAUACCGAUGGCGGAGGCAGCCAUCUGGCCUAACACUGACGCUGAGGUACGAAAGAAUGGGGAGCAAACAGG
rnacentral:rRNA from 1 species